rnacentral:lncRNA from 1 species
AGGAGAAGCCCGGAGCCCCCCACCCUCGCGGCGGUCACGCUCCCUCCCGCUCCCGCCAGGCCCGCGCGGCCCUUCACCUUGAUCCGCACGUAGCAGUGGGUGCCCAAGGAGGGGUCGCUCAGGCACGCGGGAGGGUGCUCCCGGGCGGGCCGCCGGAAGGUCUGCGCCGGCCCCUUGCCGAGGCUCCACAAAAGUUUGAGCAGGUGGAUGGAGGCGCAGAGCCCGCAGUAGCAGUAGACCAGGGACCAGAAGAGCAGGGACCGGAGCGUGAGCAUCAGGCGGGGCAGGCAAUCCCGCAGCCUCGCCAUUGGGAGGCGGCGGCGGGGCCCACUGCCCUUCCUCGGGAGCGGGUGAGCGAG